CCACUCUCAAAAUAAGAAUUUAAGCAAAAAUAAAGAAAAGAAGAAAGCAUUUUAAAGGGACGUAACUAAUCAGAAAACCAAAUCACUUUGUUGUACUGAUGUAGGAAGAAAUUGAAACCACACAAACUCCAAAAACACUGCUUUCAAAGCCAUCUGAUUACCUAGCUGGUUUCAUAUAGAUCUUAUUUCCAAAUAUAGAAUUCAACAGCACAGAAGGAUUCUCAAGCUACAAACUAUAUAAAAGGAUUUCAUGACUAUAAAUUGGUUUUGUAACAUAAGUUUAAAAAUUAAAUCUAUUAGACUAAUGAUAGUCUGGACAUUAAAAUUAGAUUGCAAGAUCAGAUGGGAACAUGGGAUGCUUUCUAUUUGUAGGUAAGAAAAAAAGACAGGUUUAUAUUAAAAUAUUAUUGAUCCUGAUACUAGGAAUAGAUUACUGCUUCAUUUCUAUAACAAAACAAAGUUUACUUCUUACAUAAAUUGCAUAAAAUCUAGUACAAGAGUUGGAAAAAAA